rnacentral:tRNA from 1 species
GCGCGCUUGGCUUUCGGGUUCAAGGGCAACGCCGUUCCGGCGGUGCUGAUGUCGGUCACCGCCGGCGUCGGCUGGUUCGCCACCAACAGCGUCAGC